CGGGACGUAGCGCAGUCCGGUAGCGCACUUGCAUGGGGUGCAAGGGGUCGUGGGUUCAAAUCCCGCCGUCCCGA
rnacentral:tRNA from 1 species